AUCCAGAUGACGAGACUCAAACAGGACGAAGUGCGCAUCCUAGAU
rfam:Trichobilharzia regenti genome assembly, scaffold: TRE_scaffold0008793